rnacentral:rRNA from 1 species
UACGUAGGGGGCUAGCGUUGUCCGGAAUCAUUGGGCGUAAAGCGCGCGUAGGCGGCCCGGUAAGUCCGCUCUGAAAGUCCAGGGCUCAACCCUGGAAAGCGGGUGGAUACUGCCGGGCUAGAAUCCGGAAGAGGCGAGUGGAAUUCCUGGUGUAGCGGUGAAAUGCGCAGAUAUCAGGAAGAACACCCGUGGCUAAGGCGGUUCUCUAGUACGGUACUGACGCUGAGACGCGAAAGCGUGGGGAGCGAACAGG